rnacentral:rRNA from 1 species
GUCCUAGCCCUAAACGAUGAAUACUUGGUGUCUGGAGUUUUUAUCAUCCGGGUGCCGUCGCUAACGUUUUAAGUAUUCCGCCUGGGGAGUACGCACGCAAGUGUGAAACUCAAAGGAAUUGACGGGGACCCGCACAAGCGGUGGAGCAUGUGGUUUAAUUCGACGCAACGCGAAGAACCUUACCUGGACUAGAAUGUGAGGGAAGGACUUCUAAUAGAGUCCGUCCGGGCAACCGGACCCAAAACAAGGUGCUGCAUGGCUGUCGU